AUUGAACGCUGGCGGCAUGCCUUACACAUGCAAGUCGAACGGUAACAGGUCUUCGGAUGCUGACGAGUGGCGAACGGGUGAGUAAUACAUCGGAACGUGCCUAGUAGUGGGGGAUAACUACUCGAAAGAGUGGCUAAUACCGCAUGAGAUCUACGGAUGAAAGCAGGGGAUCGCAAGACCUUGUGCUACUAGAGCGGCCGAUGGCAGAUUAGGUAGUUGGUGGGAUAAAAGCUUACCAAGCCGACGAUCUGUAGCUGGUCUGAGAGGACGAUCAGCCACACUGGGACUGAGACACGGCCCAGACUCCUACGGGAGGCAGCAGUGGGGAAUUUUGGACAAUGGGCGCAAGCCUGAUCCAGCCAUGCCGCGUGCGGGAAGAAGGCCUUCGGGUUGUAAACCGCUUUUGUCAGGGAAGAAAAGGGUGUUUCUAAUACAGACGCCUCAUGACGGUACCUGAAGAAUAAGCACCGGCUAACUACGUGCCAGCAGCCGCCGUAA
rnacentral:rRNA from 1 species